rnacentral:rRNA from 1 species
AUGUCUGGAUCUCCUGCCGUGUGGCCGGAGCUGCCGGAGGACAUCCUGAUGGUCGUCCUCGCCGCCCUCGAGAUCCCCGACCUCAUGCGCGCCGGCUGCAUCUGCACCUCGUGGCACUCCGCCUACACCGCCCUGCGCAGCCUCGGCAAGCAGAAGCAGACCCAGACGCCAUGCCUGCUCUACACCUCUGAAUCCGCCGGUGAGCAUGUUGCGUGCCUCUACAGCCUCAUGGAGAAGAGGGUCUACAGGCUGACCCCGGAGCCGCCUCUCCGCCACUGGUUCAUCAUCGGGUCCUCAUUGGGCUUCCUGGUCACCGUCGAUGACAGGUCCGAGAUGCACCUCGUCAAUCCAAUCACCGGCCAGCAGAUUGCUCUCCCUUCAGUGACCACCAUCGAGUACGUGAAGCCCAUCUUUGACGAGUCACGUUCUGUCCACGAGUAUGAAUACCCAAGUCACUCUUCAAGAGAAGCUUUCUUCACGCCGUCGAUCAUGCCUCGUUGCAAGCUGAGGGAAUACUGCUUCCAGUUCAAGGCGUUUGUGUUCCAUGAUGCACCCACAGGAAGCUACAUCGUGGUGCUCAUCCACAAGCCAUUCACUCACAUCUCGUUUGCAAGAGUACGGGAUGAUAAGUGGACCUUGCUGCGACCACACUGUCACUACCGUGACUGCACCUACAAGGAUGGGUUCUUGUAUGCAGCGAGUUUGAUGGGAGAAAUCCAUGCCUUCGAUCUUAGUGGUCCUGCUGUUACAAUGAAGAUUAUUAGGGGCAGCGACGACGAUUUUGAUCCCGAUGCUGUACAGAUCGUUCAGGCCCCAUGGGGUGGUCUGCUGCUUGUUUCAAGAUUAAAAGAGUUCGAAGAUCCUGACCCUAAAGUUUCUGCCCUGAAUACUAUGGAAAUUAAGUUACACAGAGUUGAUGAUGGCGCAGAGAAGCUUGUGGAAAUUGAUUGCUUGCCUGACCAUGUGCUAUUUCUUGGGCUUAACGAUACACUUUGUAGUGCCAAAAAUUACCCUGCUCUCAAGGGGAAUCAUGCCUACUUUACUGACGAUCAAGAGUACAAUCAAAGACGUAAGAGUAGUCGUCGUGACAUUGGAGUAGUUGACUUGGGCAAUAAUAGUAAGGAGGACCUUGUGUCUCCUCAGCUUUGA